UACGUAGGGUCCAAGCGUUAUCCGGAAUUACUGGGCGUAAAGCGUGCGCAGGCGGUUUGCUAAGACCGAUGUGAAAUCCCCGGGCUCAACCUGGGAACUGCAUUGGUGACUGGCAGGCUAGAGUAUGGCAGAGGGGGGUAGAAUUCCACGUGUAGCAGUGAAAUGCGUAGAGAUGUGGAGGAAUACCGAUGGCGAAGGCAGCCCCCUGGGCCAAUACUGACGCUCAUGCACGAAAGCGUGGGGAGCAAACAGG
rnacentral:rRNA from 1 species